UAGAUACCCUGGUAGUCCACGCCGUAAACGUUGGGAACUAGAUGUGGGGACCAUUCCACGGUCUCCGUGUCGCAGCUAACGCAUUAAGUUCCCCGCCUGGGGAGUACGGCCGCAAGGCUAAAACUCAAAGGAAUUGACGGGGGCCCGCACAAGCGGCGGAGCAUGCGGAUUAAUUCGAUGCAACGCGAAGAACCUUACCAAGGCUUGACAUAUACCUGAAAAGGCUGGAAACAGUCUCCCCGCAAGGCAG
rnacentral:rRNA from 1 species